AGGCCUGUUUCAGAUACUAUGAUCACGACAGUGCUUUUCCCAGGACGAGGCUUAUUCAUUGCACUCCAGAUGUGCUGACCCCUGCGAUUUCCCCAAAUGGGAGAAACUGGACUGCAUAAUUUGUAGUAGUAGGGGACUGCGUUCGAGAUCUCCCCUC
ensembl:snRNA U1 U1 spliceosomal RNA